UUCGGCAGAGAUGCCUUAGUGCCUUCGGGAACCGUGAGACAGGUGCUGCAUGGCUGUCGUCAGCUCGUGUUGUGAAAUGUUGGGUUAAGUCCCGCAACGAGCGCAACCCUUAUCCUUUGUUGCCAGCGGUCCGGCCGGGAACUCAAAGGAGACUGCCAGUGAUAAACUGGAGGAAGGUGGGGAUGACGUCAAGUCAUCAUGGCCCUUACGACCAGGGCUACACACGUGCUACAAUGGCGCAUACAAAGAGAAGCGACCUCGCGAGAGCAAGCGGACCUCAUAAAGUGCGUCGUAGUCCGGAUUGGAGUCUGCAACUCGACUCCAUGAAGUCGGAAUCGCUAGUAAUCGUGGAUCAGAAUGCCACGGUGAAUACGUUCCCGG
rnacentral:rRNA from 1 species